GCCAUUUCCUCUAUCCCUUUCUUGUUUUUAUGUGUCUUUAUUCUUCCUUGCCCAGGAUGAAGCUUGUGCAGGGCAGGAUCAAUCCUCUUCCCUCCUCCCUUCUCUCAGAGUCCAACCUCCUUCUGUUUCUAGUCUAGGCCUCCUGCAGUAUCUGACUGGGCCCAGCUGGGCCAUGGCCAGCAACUCUGGGAGCCCAGGAGUCUGCCUGCCUCUGCCUCUCCACACGCAGGGCAGAGCUUGCAUCUGUAGCUUAGGUAUCCUGGCAUCCUUAGGUUGAAACCUGCAGAGUGGGGGGUCUAACAGAGACCAUGGCAGAAUAUGGAGGGUAUAGAGCAUGGGUCAAAUGAGGGCUUAGAUUCACUGGGCUGGGCUGGGACAGCUGUCUUUGGGAGGACAGCUUCUCUUUCAGCCCUAUCCCUAUAGACUGGGAUUCACACCCACAUUUUUAAGACCUAGAUAUGUGGUUGAGGCCAGAUCCUGGCACUAGAAACCAGUCUCAAGGGAUCUUGGAGGGCUGGUGAUGUAAAGUUGAGUUUGUUGGUAGUACACAUCUUUUUAUAGCACCUACUUUGUGCUUAACUGUGUUGCUGGGGCUCCCAUGGAGCAGCCAAUGUCCUGUGACCCUGAGAUGGUCCUGAAAAAUCCAUGGGGAAGCAAGGAAGUGCGGACCUCAUCAGCAGAGGGGUGUGGGAACAGAGAGGGAUAGGAACUGUGGAUGCCCCUUUGCUUGGUAGACAAGGGCCGUGAGGCCGACUGGAUGGGUCAGAAUUUUCUGUGGUUGAAGGGAAGGGAUGAGGGUAGGCACUGGGUCGCCUCUGCCCUCUGGCUCCCAGACUGGGCCUGACUGGGUUCCCCCUCUUCCCCAUGGUCACUAACUUCUGAGGGCAGGUCUGGGCACCUGCACCGCCAACUCAGGAAGGCCACUGAUGGGAUUCGUGCUGAAUUGGGAAUGAAGCCCCAGUCCCAGCAGUGGACUGUGUGGUCCCAGCUGCUGCCUCUGGAAAGUGGGCUGGAGGAAGUGCUGAGCGAGGAGGCUGGGCGAGCUGGCACAGAAAGCGCUGACUCCACAGGGAGAGGACCACCGAGUGACCACUGCCAGCUGGGCCCUGGGCCCACCCCUCCCCCGCAGCCACAUCUGGUGCAAUGGUGGGGGAGGCAGGGGGGACUUUGGUCCCCAGAGCCAAGGCAGUGGUGGAGGGGGCCCGAGGAAGGGGCU
rnacentral:lncRNA from 1 species